rnacentral:rRNA from 1 species
CCGGAUAGGUAUACAGAGCGCAUGCUCAGUAUAUAAAAGCGCCCAUCAAGGCGUGAACAUGGAUGGACCUGCGGCGCAUUAGCUAGUUGGUGAGGUAACGGCCCACCAAGGCGAUGAUGCGUAGCCGGCCUGAGAGGGUAAACGGCCACAUUGGGACUGAGACACGGCCCAAACUCCUACGGGAGGCAGCAGUAGGGAAUUUUCGUCAAUGGGGGAAACCCUGAACGAGCAAUGCCGCGUGAGUGAAGAAGGUCUUCGGAUCGUAAAGCUCUGUUGUAAGUGAAGAACGGCUCAUAGAGGAAAUGCUAUGGGAGUGACGGUAGCUUACCAGAAAGCCACGGCUAACUACGUGCCAGCAGCCGCGGUAAUACGUAGGUGGCAAGCGUUAUCCGGAAUCAUUGGGCGUAAAGGGUGCGUAGGUGGCGUACUAAGUCUGUAGUAAAAGGCAAUGGCUCAACCAUUGUAAGCUAUGGAAACUGGUAUGCUGGAGUGCAGAAGAGGGCGAUGGAAUUCCAUGUGUAGCGGUAAAAUGCGUAGAUAUAUGGAGGAACACCAGUGGCGAAGGCGGUCGCCUGGUCUGUAACUGACACUGAGGCACGAAAGCGUGGGGAACAAAUAGGAUUAGAUACCCUAGUAGUCCACGCCGUAAACGAUGAGAACUAAGUGUUGGAGGAAUUCAGUGCUGCAGUUAACGCAAUAAGUUCUCCGCCUGGGGAGUAUGCACGCAAGUGUGAAACUCAAAGGAAUUGACGGGGGCCCGCACAAGCGGCGGAGUAUGUGGUUUAAUUCGAAGCAACGCGAAGAACCUUACCAGGCCUUGACAUGGAAACAAAUACUCUAGAGAUAGGGGGAUAAUUAUGGAUCACACAGGUGGUGCAUGGUUGUCGUCAGCUCGUGUCGUGAGAUGUUGGGUUAAGUCCCGCAACGAGCGCAACCCUUGUCGCAUGUUACCAGCAUCAAGUUGGGGACUCAUGCGAGACUGCCGGUGACAAACCGGAGGAAGGUGGGGAUGACGUCAAAUCAUCAUGCCCCUUAUGGCCUGGGCUACACACGUACUACAAUGGCGACCACAAAGAGCAGCGACACAGUGAUGUGAAGCGAAUCUCAUAAAGGUCGUCUCAGUUCGGAUUGAAGUCUGCAACUCGACUUCAUGAAGUCGGAAUCGCUAGUAAUCGCAGAUCAGCAUGCUGCGGUGAAUACGUUCUCGGGCCUUGCACA